GUCGCGGUCCCAUCUGAAGAUUUCUCUGGUGGAUCGCAAGCAGUGUCAGCUCCGCUGUGUGGGCGUCUGGGCGGACCCGCCCUCCCGAGCAGGACAUCUCUUCCUCAUGCGACUGUAGGCUCCUGGAAGUAAAGACCCAUCAAUGUGUUUCAAAUGCCCAGCACCAAGACCUUUGUACAGAACAGAAGCUGUGCUGAAAUACAAGCAGAUGCACAAUAGGGCGGCCCGAGUGACCGCUUCGUGACCCGUGUGAGCCCCGAUGCCCCGGAAGGCCUUCACCUACCGAAAUCCACACACCGGACCUCUGGGAGCCUGGAGAGGUUGCUCCUGCUUGUCCCAGCCAGCAGGCUGUGUCUGCCCCGAGGGUGACUUAAAUAGGAUGAGGAGAGGAGGAAGGAGAAUGAGCCCACUUCUGUCUCUAAAAGUUAAUGAGGUUAGGAUGUUCAC
rnacentral:lncRNA from 1 species